rnacentral:rRNA from 1 species
ACCGCGUGUGCGAUGAAGGCCUUCGGGUUGUAGAGCACUUUUCGAGAGGAAGAGGAAGGACGGUACUCUCGGAAUAAGUCUCGGCUAACUACGUGCCAGCAGCCGCGGUAAAACGUAGGAGGCGAACGUUAUCCGGAUUUACUGGGCGUAAAGCGCGUGUAGGUGGUUUGGUAAGUAGGGCGUGAAAGCUCCUGGCUCAACUAGGAGAGGUCGUUCUAAACUGCCAGACUUGAGGAUGGUAGAGGGAGGUGGAAUUCCGGGUGUAGUAGUGAAAUGCGCAGAUAUUCGGAGGAACACCAGUGGCGAAAGCGGCCUCCUGGACCACACCUGACACUCAGACGCGAAAGCUAGGGUAGCAAACGGGAUUAGAGACCCCGGUAGUCCUAGCCGUAAACGAUGUAGACUUGACGUUGGUGGUUUAAUAUCCAUCAGUGUCGUAGCUAACGCGAUAAGUCUACCGCCUGGGGACUACGGCCGCAAGGUUAAAACUCAAAGGAAUU